rnacentral:rRNA from 1 species
CUAGUAAUCGCGGAUCAGCAUGCCGCGGUGAAUACGUUCCCGGGCCUUGUACACACCGCCCGUCACACCAUGGGAGUCGUAACACCCGAAGCCGAUAGUCUAACGAAAGAGGACGUCGUCGAAGGUGGGAUUGAUGACUGGGGUGAAGUCGUAACAAGGUAUC